rnacentral:misc_RNA from 1 species
GAGUUGGUAACGAAAAUAAUUUAAAAGCGAGUGAUAAAAGAAUCAAAUCUUUACAAUAAUUCACAUCCCAUCUCAAUCUAUAUGAUUCCAUUCCAAUCAUGAGCACUUCACCAACCCCACCUGCCCAUCUAUGAAUCAUCACAUGAAGAAAGAAUAGGAUGUGUCAAAUGAUGAAAAGUAUAGGUAAAAUUAAGAUUAUUAUAACACACGAAAGACCCUUUGAAUACCAAGUAAAAGCAUUAAUUAUAUGUUAUUGAAUCGAAGAAUAGUAAAACGCAUUGGUCAAUGGGUCAUUCAAGAAUGUGCCAUGCCUCAUUGAGUGUAAGAAAAUAACUAAAUGUGCCAAAGUAAAUUCUUAGAAAAAUAUAGUAUGUGCAUGUGAUGUGCAAAUCAUUCGACCUAAUUCGGCAAUUCACAAUCUAGCAAACCCUUACUUGUGCCAAAUAAUUAAUGUCUUUAUUUAGAUAAUUACUUUAGUAGAUUUUGAUUUCCUAGACUACUUUUAAUUAGAAAUUUUUGAUUCGAUUGUUGAUAGAUUUAUAAUUGAGCAAUCAUUUGCAUGGAAAUGGAGAUGAUUGGCGAUAUUAUGAUUGGAGAUAGAGGUGGUUGUUGCAUGCAUAUAUUUUUAUGCUUCUCUUAUUAAGGUAGUCGCAGCCCCUGCCUGCAGGCUACAUGAUAUUGAUAUAUCCAUUGAACCAUGAAUUAAGAGUUCUCUGUCCUUUCAAAUUCACUUUUCCAAGAUGCAGGGCUGCUUCCGUGCAUGUUGUGAGGCCAUGAUCAAUCGUUUAACAAGCAUAUCGUACAUUUCUAAUAUUAUGUGUAUAAAUAGACCUCAAUUACAGUGCACGAUUUGUCCAUUUUUCUUCUGACCUUUGACUAAAUAAGGUUCCAUUUUCAGUUCAUUCUUUAAUACAA